UAGAGUUUGAUCCUGGCUCAGGAUGAACGCUGGCGGCGUGCUUAACACAUGCAAGUCGAACGAACCUUCGGGUUAGUGGCGGACGGGUGAGUAACGCGUGAGAAUCUGCCCUCAGGAGGGGGAUAACAGCUGGAAACGGCUGCUAAUACCCCAUAUGCCGCGAGGUGAAAUGAAUUUCGCCUGAGGAUGAGCUCGCGUCUGAUUAGCUAGUUGGUGUGGGUAAUGGCUCACCAAGGCAUCGAUCAGUAGCUGGUCUGAGAGGAUGAUCAGCCACACUGGGACUGAGACACGGCCCAGACUCCUACGGGAGGCAGCAGUGGGGAAUUUUCCGCAAUGGGCGAAAGCCUGACGGAGCAACGCCGCGUGAGGGAUGAAGGCCUCUGGGCUGUAAACCUCUUUUAUCAAGGAAGAAGAUCUGACGGUACUUGAUGAAUAAGCCACGGCUAAUUCCGUGCCAGCAGCCGCGGUAAUACGGGAGUGGCAAGCGUUAUCCGGAAUUAUUGGGCGUAAAGCGUCCGCAGGCGGCCCUUCAAGUCUGCUGUUAAAAAGUGGAGCUUAACUCCAUCAUGGCAGUGGAAACUGAGGGGCUUGAGUGUGGUAGGGGCAGAGGGAAUUCCCGGUGUAGCGGUGAAAUGCGUAGAUAUCGGGAAGAACACCAGUGGCGAAGGCGCUCUGCUGGGCCAUCACUGACGCUCAUGGACGAAAGCCAGGGGAGCGAAAGGGAUUAGAUACCCCUGUAGUCCUGGCCGUAAACGAUGAACACUAGGUGUCGGGGGAAUCGACCCCCUCGGUGUCGUAGCCAACGCGUUAAGUGUUCCGCCUGGGGAGUACGCACGCAAGUGUGAAACUCAAAGGAAUUGACGGGGGCCCGCACAAGCGGUGGAGUAUGUGGUUUAAUUCGAUGCAACGCGAAGAACCUUACCAGGGUUUGACAUCCUGCGAAUCUCUUGGAAACGAGAGAGUGCCUUCGGGAGCGCAGUGACAGGUGGUGCAUGGCUGUCGUCAGCUCGUGUCGUGAGAUGUUGGGUUAAGUCCCGCAACGAGCGCAACCCACGUCUUUAGUUGCCAGCAUUUAGUUGGGCACUCUAGAGAGACCGCCGGUGAUAAACCGGAGGAAGGUGUGGAUGACGUCAAGUCAUCAUGCCCCUUACAUCCUGGGCUACACACGUACUACAAUGCUACGGACAAAGGGCAGCAAGUUCGCGAGGACAAGCAAAUCCCAUAAACCGUGGCUCAGUUCAGAUCGUAGGCUGCAACUCGCCUACGUGAAGGAGGAAUCGCUAGUAAUCGCAGGUCAGCAUACUGCGGUGAAUACGUUCCCGGGCCUUGUACACACCGCCCGUCACACCAUGGAAGUUGGCCACGCCCGAAGCCGUUACUCCAACCCUUGUGGAGGAGGACGUCGAAGGUGGGGCUGAUGACUGGGGUGAAGUCGUAACAAGGUAACCUA
rnacentral:rRNA from 1 species